UACGUAGGGUGCAAGCGUUAAUCGGAAUUACUGGGCGUAAAGCGUGCGCAGGCGGUUUUGUAAGUCUGACGUGAAAUCCCCCGGGCUCAACCUGGGAAUUGCGUUGGAGACUGCAAGGCUGGAGUCUGGCAGAGGGGGGUAGAAUUCCACGUGUAGCAGUGAAAUGCGUAGAGAUGUGGAGGAACACCGAUGGCGAAGGCAGCCCCCCUGGGUCAAGACUGACGCUCAUGCACGAAAGCGUGGGGAGCAAACAGG
rnacentral:rRNA from 1 species